UUUAAAUGCAACCAUAAGUUUACGUGCUUAACUUUAAUCAUCCAUCUAAUUUAAUUUUUUUUAUAAUUAGUAUUUUUGUUGUUAUGAGAUGAUAAAACAUGAAUAAUACUUUGCUUAUGACUUACUCCCUCCGUUUCACAUUAUAAGACUUUCUAGCAUUGCCCACAUUCAUAUAGAUGUUGGGCAAUGCUAGAAAGUCUUAUAAUGUGAAACAGAGGAAGUAUGUUUUUAUUUUUUUUCAAAUAAGACAAAUAAUCAAAAUUAGGCGCGGAAAACUAUGGCUGCACUUAUA
rnacentral:pre_miRNA from 1 species